UAUUUAGAGAGAAAGAGAGAGAGAUAAACCUAUCUCCUAGAAUUAGAAGGGACCCUGGGUCAUUGAGUCCAGCCCCCUGCCUUCACUAGCAGGACCAAGUACUGGUUAU